AAGGAAUCCUAAGAGGCACAAUUUUUCAAAAUGCUACAAGCUAGUAGAUGAUAUGGAAGAAUAAAACACAUGAUCAGAAAGUAAAGAAAGCUGACGUGGAAGAAAAGAAGAAAAAGAUGCAAGCAAUUGGAUCAAUUCAGAGAAACCGUAUCAGUCAUACAGAUGGAUUUAUGUCAGAUUACUACAGUUAAGGCGAUGUUCAAAAUGGAGGAAGACUCUCGAAACAAGUUACCCAAAGGCUGAUGGAAUUACUUUGUCCACAGCAUCCAGUUCUCAGAAAGCUAUUUUGGUCAAGGGUUAUACUUGCACUUGAUUAGACUCUGAAGGAUUGAUGGGGAUUGAAUUGAAAGGAACCAAGAGGAAAAGAG
ensembl:lncRNA